UAGGAGCCUGGUAGCAAAGUCUGUGCAC
rnacentral:piRNA from 1 species